rnacentral:rRNA from 1 species
GUUGAACGCUGGCGGCAUGCCUUACACAUGCAAGUCGAACGGCAGCACGGGAGCAAUCCUGGUGGCGAGUGGCGAACGGGUGAGUAAUAUAUCGGAACGUGCCCGGUCGUGGGGGAUAACGUAGCGAAAGCUACGCUAAUACCGCAUACGAUCUACGGAUGAAAGCGGGGGAUCGCAAGACCUGCGCGAUUGGAGCGGCCGAUAUCAGAUUAGGUAGUUGGUGAGGUAAAGGCUCACCAAGCCGACGAUCUGUAGCUGGUCUGAGAGGACGACCAGCCACACUGGACUGAGACACGGCCCAGACUCCUACGGGAGGCAGCAGUGGGGAAUUUUGGACAAUGGGCGCAAGCCUGGAUCCAGCAAUG